rnacentral:lncRNA from 1 species
UAAAAGGAUGUGGAGGAGAACAAAUUGAAUUUGAAUUCCUAUGAUGUAAGCGAUGAUGUCAUCGGACGAUGAGGUAAGCGAUGAUGUCAUCGAACGAUGAGGUAAGCAAUGAUGUAAUAUGAUCGAUGAUGUCACUGAUGAUGUCAUAAAUUAUGGCGAAAAGACUAUUUUACCCUUACUCUUCCAAGCCUAUAAAUAGAAGCUCAUUUCUUCAUUAUUUUUCACCAAUUCAUUCAAGCUAUAGAGAGAGAAAGUAUAGAGAGAAUAAGAGAGAAAGAAGAAGAGUCUUCUGUUACUACACUAUUGCAGUAUCCAAUCUCCUACUAAGGUAAGGGGUAUUAUUUCUUUCGUAUUCGUAAGUGAUAUUAUUCUUGUUCAAUAUUCGUAAGAAAUAAUAUUUUCUUCCAUACUCUGUAGUAUGUAUGUAACACCCCCUUCCCGAAAUAGAAAGAGAGGUUACCCAAAACAUUACCAAAACUGAUGAAUUUAAUAACAAGGCUCAAAGCCACAAAAGAAUGGUCUUAAUAACUGAUAAAUAUCACAAGUCAACCAUAAUAAAUCUCAAACUGUCUCAAACCACAAUCUAAAAUAAUUAUUACAAUUCAAAGUAAACUAACACAUCAAGUCUAAACAGAAUAUUUCUAAAUCAUUGGAAUAAAUGGAGCUCUCAUUACACUUGCCCUUAAUCCCCCUGAUUACAUGCCAGAAGAAAAACACAGCAUGAGCCAAAUGCCCAGUACGGAUAUAGAAUAC